rnacentral:rRNA from 1 species
CCUACGGGAGGCAGCAGUGGGGAAUAUUGGGCAAUGGACGCAAGUCUGACCCAGCAACGCCGCGUGAAGGAAGAAGGCUUUCUGGUUGUAAACUUCUUGUAAGGGGGAAGAGAAGAAGAAGGUACCCCUUGAAUGAGCAACGGCUAACUACGUGCCAGCAGCAGCGGUAAUACGGAGGUGGCAAGCGUUGUCCGGAAUUACUGGGUGUAAAGGGUGUGCAGCCGGGAAGACAAGUCAGAUGGGAACUCCCGCGGCUCAACCGCGGAACUGCAUUUGAGACUGUUAUUCUUGAGGAUCGUGGCGGUAAGCGGAAUUUCUGGUGUAGCGGUGAAAUGCGUAGAUAUUAUGAAGAACACCAGUGGCGAAGGCGGAUUAC